GAUGAACGCUGGCGGCGUGCCUAAUACAUGCAAGUCGAGCGAACGGACGAGAAGCUUGCUUCUCUGAUGUUAGCGGCGGACGGGUGAGUAACACGUGGAUAACCUACCUAUAAGACUGGGAUAACUUCGGGAAACCGGAGCUAAUACCGGAUAAUAUUUUGAACCGCAUGGUUCAAAAGUGAAAGACGGUCUUGCUGUCACUUAUAGAUGGAUCCGCGCUGCAUUAGCUAGUUGGUAAGGUAACGGCUUACCAAGGCAACGAUGCAUAGCCGACCUGAGAGGGUGAUCGGCCACACUGGAACUGAGACACGGUCCAGACUCCUACGGGAGGCAGCAGUAGGGAAUGUUCCGCAAAGGGCGAAAGCCUGACGGAGCAACGCCGCGUGAGUGAUGAAGGUCUUCGGACCGUAAAACUCUGUUAUUAGGGAAGAACAUAUGUGUAAGUAACUGUGCACAUCUUGACGGUACCUAAUCAGAAAGCCACGGCUAACUACGUG
rnacentral:rRNA from 1 species